rnacentral:rRNA from 1 species
UACGAAGGGUGCAAACGUUGCUCGGAAUCAUUGGGCGUAAAGCGCACGUAGGCGGCUUUGCAAGUCGGACGUGAAAUCCCUCAGCUCAACUGAGGACGUGCAUCCGAAACUGCAAGGCUUGAGUACUGAAGAGGAUCGCGGAAUUCCCGGUGUAGAGGUGAAAUUCGUAGAUAUCGGGGGGAACACCAGUGGCGAAGGCGGCGAUCUGGGCAGAUACUGACGCUGAGGUGCGAAAGCGUGGGGAGCAAACAGG